rnacentral:lncRNA from 1 species
GUAAUUUUGGUGAGAAUUAUUUUAUUAAUUGGUGAGGACCCUUAUUUUACUAGGUUACUAUUGUAGUGAUUAGUUUUUACCGUUAGUGACCGUUGAUUAUAUUUUACCGUCGUUAGUAAUUACCGUUGAGUGUAUAGAAACUUUUGAAUUGUGUUAGAAUGGGUUAGGCCCAUUAUAUUUUGAGUUAAGCCCAUUAAGGGGGAUAACACUAGGGUUGUCUUAGAAUUGUAUUCAUUCUCUACAAAACAUUUUCAUAGAGAGAAGGAGAGGUAGAGAGAAAAGAGGUGAAGAGAAGAGCAAGAGGGUUGAAGGGAAGCUUUAGGAAUCAAGUGGGGUGACCUAGGAGCUGAAUUGAAGCAAGGGUUAGAGAUAAUCAACUUCAAAGGUAAGGGGGUUAGUGAUUAUUAUAAUCAUGUAAUUUUGCAUUUUCUCAUGUUGUAUGAAAAUGGGUCGAUGAACAAUUCAUGCUAGAUUCGUGCUCUUACUGUGAUGUUAUGUUUGUAUGCAUGAAUUGAUGAUAAUUGUAUGAUUGUUGGUGAAAUUACAUGUUCAAAUAUGUAAAAAUGAUAAGUUGUGAAAAUGGUGCUCAAUUGGUGAAUUUUGCUAAGUUAUUGUUAAUUUGAGAUUUGAUUCUUGCUCAAUUGAUGUUAUGGUUGUUAAUUGAUGUUUUAGUUUGUCAUACCCCAAAUUUUGACCACUUUUUUCUGUUUUUUACCCAUUCUAGUUCGUAGUGUAAAGCCAAGAAUUUUCGUUGUUUCAGACGAAAUUUCGGCGGGGAGGUAUUUUAAAAUACCUCAUAUUUGGUUCCGAAUCGGGCCCUUUUCUCUCAAUUCUCAUUUUUAUUUAGUUUCCAUCUUUUAUUAACUUUAAAUUCAUUUUUUAACCUUUAAUUUAUUUUAUUUUUAAUGUCAAAAUUUUGUCCGAUAAGAAACAGGCUGAAACAGCUCAUUCACAGCUAAGAAACAGGCUGUUAUGUUCCUCUCCAAACAACAGAAAUUCAGUUCUAUAAAUAUAACCACCUGCACACAGACAAAGGGGGCCCAACAAACAAAAGAAACAUUCCACGGCCAGAACACAAGAACAAUUUUCAUUCUUUUUCAAACCCACAAAUCAAAAUCACCAACCUCAAAUUCCAUCAACCCUCAACCCAAACCGUUUCACAACCAGCCGUCAAACACCAUCAUAAAACAUAACCCUAGCACCACAAACCAACACAAUCAAAUUCGCACAAACCUCAAACCGUCACCAUCUUUCAAGUUCAAAAACAGAUCCGGACUUUUUGUAGGUUUGUUUCAAAAAAAGAGUUUUUUUCGAAAAUAAAAGUUUAGAUCUAUGCUUUUGUGUUGUUGUUUUGAAAAUUUUGAGUUGUUAUUUGAAAAGAGGAGUAAAAAGGAUGUUUAAAAAUGUAAAAAGUUUGUGAAUCGGAGUGGUUUUGAACUCAGGCGCGGUGGUGCCACCACCGGCCACCGCGCCGGAGUCACCUCCAACCACCAUCUCUCCACCGGAGAAGAUGAAGAAUAAAGAGAGAGAAGAGAGCGUGUGGCUCUCAAAGAGAAGAAGAGAGAGGAAAAACAAUGAAAAGUGACAAGGUUGUGACCCACAACCUUUAUAUACAUGUUCACUGGAUCAACCCAUGAACCGACCCGGUUCAGUUUUCUUAAGCCCAAUUCUCUUUUCUCCUUCUCGCACCCCCUUUAUUUUCUUGCUUCCCCCCAGCAUCUAAUUUUUAUUCCUUUUUCAUGCAUUUUAAUUCUCUUUCUAUCUUAAUCCAGAGUGCUCUGGUCCUAUAUUAACUGUUAAUAUUAUAUUUAUGUUUAAUUUAAUUAUUCUCCAGAAUAAUCUGGUCCUUGUUAAUUACAUUAAUCCAGAGUGCUCUGGUCCUUGUUAAUUAAAUUAAUCCAGAGUGCUCUGGUCUUAUAUUAACUGUUAAUAUUAUAUUUUUGUUUAAUUUAAUCAUUCUUCAGAGUGCUCUGGUCCUAUGUUUUUAUUUUUUAUUGCUCUGUUAGUCUAAUUUUCAUCUACUAUGCCAAAACAACAAAAACAUUCAAAUAUCAAAAAUCACAAAAACAUUUUUAUAAUAAACCUUGAUUCUCAAAUCAAGUGGUCGUUCCUUUUAUUUUCUUUUUUAAUCAAAUCUUAAUCAAUUUUAAUUCUACUUUGAGUCUAUUAUCUUUCGAUAUAAAAAACACAAACAAAUUCUCAUUUGCCGCUUGGCUUUUUAUUUUAAAACCUCUUUCAAAACUAAUUAAAAAAUACAAAAACCAAUCAAACGUCAAUUUCUACCCCGAACUACGAGGUUUUGAUCCCUCACGGGUACGUAGGCAGAGGACCUUGUCCUUCCAAAUCAACUAAAAAAACAAUUUUCUUUUUUCUCUUCAAUAAAAAUCAAUUUUCCGUUCCUUUUCAACUCACCAUCCAAUUUUAUUUUUAUCUCUUCAAAUAAGCAAAGCAAUUUAGCACAAGAUAAAUUAGGUAAGAGGUUCCUACGGAGUACCGUAGACGCUUAGGGUGCUAACACCUUCCCUUCGCGUAACCAACCCCCGAAUCCAAAGUCUUGAGGGUUUUUACUCAUUUUUCCCUUCCCACGAAUAAAAAUCGAGAGUUCAAAGAUUGACGAUUCAAAUCAAUUAAUGGUUUGAUAUCCGAAAAUCACGAGCACAUAGUUGAUGAAUCAUUGCUUGGGUAUGCAUAUUCAUGAAUUGAUUAUGAGAAUUUGAAUUGUUGUUGGUGUUUUUUGUAAAUGGGUUGAUUUGGUGAAUUGGCUAAAAGUGAGAUUGAUUUUCAUGUUCAAUGUGUUUUUGAGUAUCCUUGUGAGUUAUAUGACCUAUAAACAUUCUUUGGAAACAUGUUUAGGCAUUGGGAGAUCAAAAUUGGGAGUUUUGGGUGAAAAAUGGGUGAAACCCGUAACUUUUGUUAUGCAGAAUUUUGAAUGGUCGCUUAAGCGACGCUAGUUGCUGUCUGAUGAAUGCACGCUUAAGCGUGCUGUAAGCGAGAUGGUAAGCGUGCAGUCACAGUAGCUACUAGAAGUUGGACGCUUAAGCGUGCUGGUGGACGCUUAAGCGUGCAGAACUUUUUCCAACACUUUUAAAACUUUGUUCCGAGCUUCCGAGGGCCAAUCCGAACUUCUUAAAACAGUUCUUUUAACUUAUAUAAUCACUGUUUGUACAAUUAAUCCUACUGGAACACUUCCUUGGACAAGAAUUGAACUUGGUUUAUGUAAUUGAAUUUCCACUUUGAAAAUUGUCAAGAACGUUGAUUGUUCCGAAAUUUGAAAUUCAAGGAAAUGGAAUGGGAGUAAAGUAGUGUAGUGAUUGUAUGAUAAAUGAAAAUGAUUGAGAUUGGUUUCCUUGAGUUUUAUUUGGUUUUGGUUUUGAAAAUGGAAGAUUCUUGUAAAAUGUUAAAGAGAGACGAACAUUGAUGAAAAUAUCCUUUUAAGCCAAUCACCUUAUAAAUCUUUCAUAUUUAGUUUUGUAUGACUAUAUGGAAGUAUUUGAUGGUUAGUUGAGUAUUGAAUGUGAUGUUUAUCUUAAGGUGAUGUAUUUUCCUCUUGACUUGAAAAGUAGGCAAAUCAUGUAUUUGAUGUGAAAUUAUGUGAAGGUGAUGAUAUUGGUGAAUCCAUAUAUAUUGUUUAUUAUGAUAUGGUGGGUGAAUAUAUAUGUUGUUGUGAAUGUGUUGAUGGUUUAAGAAAUAUUUUGGGCGGAGUUGAAUCGGAGAAAACGGGUAUUGAGCUAAAUGUGGUUUUGUCUUAGGUUUUCUCAUACAAACUUAAGCUAUCCUUUGAACUAAUUUCUAAUAGUUUGUAAGUGGCUUAUGUUCUUGACUACAUGAUUGAUUAAGAUUGAAUUGUAGGAUUUCAAACUUAAAUAAGUUGUCUAGCUUUAAAAAUUGUCAAUGUUGGCCGUUUGCCACAUGUUUUGGAUUUUUGUUGGAAAUGUUUCUUAAGCAAAUUGUCUUGUGAGUUAUUGAGAUUAUUCUUGUAUGACUAAGUGAAGUUGUAUGAAUGAAUGAUUGUAUUGAAUAUGAUGUUUAUCAUGAGAUGUGUAUGCUAUCUUACUUAGAAUGUAAGGAACGCUUGAAUGGUGAAACUAUAUGUGAUAGUUGAUGUUGAAUGGUUAUAUGUUGGAUAUGAUAUUUGUCACGAGAUGUUGUAUGUUCUUUUACUUGGGAUAUGAGAAUUGUUUGGAGUGGUGAAACUAUAUGAUAUAGUUGAUGUUGAAUGACAUUGUUGAUUAUUGAUAAUCAUGUUGAUGUGUGAUGGUGAAUACUAUGAUUUAUUUGUGUGGGCAUGUUUUCUUGAUAAUGCAAUGUUGUGGAGAUAAUCAAUAUAAUUGGGUGUCGUCCUAUAUAUUGAGUUGAGAUUGUGAAUUGUUGUCGCAUUAUCGAGUUCUUACCAUGUCCAUGCAUCAUAGUCGUUGUUGCUGUAAAAGGGAUGACUCUUUUACUUCGAGAUUAUUGUAAGGCAGAGGUGAGCCUUACAUGCGAUGUUGACUUGUCCAUCGGAGGUGACGACCUUGUUGAGAUUUGGUACCACAUGCAUUUAUGUGUCCAUAAGUGCAUAUCAUAGCAUGAGUCUUAUGUGAAGUAUGUGAUUGGUGAUGAAUUGAGAUGAAUGAUUAUUGAUGAUGUUUGUGAUUGACGAUUGUGAAUGAAUAUUUGUGAAUUGAUAAUUGUUCAUGAAAUAUGAUUAAUGAUUGUGCAUGACUUAUGAUUGGUGAUUGUUCAUGAUGUAUAUGAUCGGUGAUUGUUCAUGAUGUAUAUGAUCGGUGAUUGUGUAUGAAUAACUGUGAAUUGAUAUUUAUUUAUGAUACAAGUAAUUGGUGAUUGUUCAUGAAAUGUGAUCAAUGAUUAUUCAUGAUAAAUGUGAUUGGUGAUUGUGAUUGAAUAAUUGUAAAUUGAUAAUUGUUCAUAUGAUUGAUGAAUAUUGAUGCGAGAUAUCGGGGUUUGAUGUAAGUAUUGAUGUGGGAAUAUUAUUAUUGAUCAAGUGAAUGAUGUUUAAAUUGAAAUAUUCAUGUUAUCUGUUAUUUGGAUUAUGAUAAUGUAAUACUUACCCACACUGGAUCUGUUAUGGACCGCCUGCCUAUCUGUAUGGAUGGGUAGACGUUGUGCAGGAUUAGAUGCUUGGUGAGUUCUUGUGCUUGGUGGAUAUCUGGAGCUUUCUCCGAUAUCGGUGUUUAGAUGUUUAGUCGGCUCUGAUCUAGACUUAGUUGUGUCAGUCUAGAUUAUCUUUUACUUUGGUUUUUGUUAUGUUUGGAGAUUACCCGUUUGUUGAGAUUUUUGAGAUGCAUCUAUGUUGAUGUAAUUUAUUUAUUCUUAACAUGUAUAUUUGAAUUUACUCUGGUUUAUAUUCCGCUGCGACUGUUGAGGUUUAUAUACAUGUUUAUUGGUUUUUGAAUUUUGAAUGUGGCGUAGCCUCUAUUUCUUGAAUAAAU